rnacentral:tRNA from 1 species
GGGUUCGAUCGUAUCUAAGAUCCUAUUUAUCUGGGUGCCCGGGUUCGAGUCCCGGGCAACCCAUACGGAAA